GUCUUUUUGUAUUGCUGAUUUUCUAUUUCAAGUUCUGACCAAUGAUGUUAACAUUAUUUAAACACUACUUUUUAGUUUCGAAAGUAAUUUCUUUGAGGUGUUUUUCUUCCCUUUUAAAACAACUGAGCUCUGUAAAAAGCAUAAGCUUCGGUUUCAGCUCAGGAGAAAAACCUUUAGGUCGAGAGAAAAUAGAAACCAGCACCUCCAUUUGAUCUUUCCUGCCCGGCCUGUUUGAAGAGCUGCUGUGUUUGGACAAUGAAACAGAUCCCUUACACAGACGUCUCAGAGCAGUACUUGAACCAACCUGCCUGUCAUGCUAGAGGAUUAUUUCUGGCUCUACCCCGUCCUUCUUUGGGUAACUCACUCCGGUGCAAAUAGGAGCUGCAUUUUGCAUUUGCAUUCUCAGAGCAUCCACCACCCUACGUCAGCAACUACCAACGUUGAGGCAAAACCCUACACCAGCAACAAAAUCAUGACUCAUUGAAGUCUCAGAUGAUCGUUACCAUUUUUAGUAAUGCUUUAAAAUUAAGGUAUGUAUUUUAAAAAAUACAUAAUUCUAUUGCAUUCUUAAUAGAAGCUUGGAAUAUAAUAUAAACAUAACUUUUAUAUGUGCUGGGAGGCCAAAAAAAUUCAUGUGACUUGCUUUUUGGAGAUGUUCACUUUAUUGCGGUGGUUGGUACUGAACCCACAAUAUCUCUGAGGUAUGUCUGUAUACCAAUGGCAAAUGAACAGGUGAUUUGUUGUCAGGGAGACGCAUAUCCAAACAACAGUGGGAUUCUGCUAUGCCCUAUUAAAAUGGGUAAAAUACAAAACACUAACAACACCAAAUGCUGACAAGAAUGUGUAGCAACAGAAACUCUCAUUCAUUACUGGCAGGAAUGCAAAAUGGUACAGUCACUUUUGAAGAAAGUUUGGCAGUUUCUUAAAAAGUAAACAUUUUCUUAAGAUCCAGCAAUUGUACUUUUUGGUACUCCAAAAUGAAUUAAAAACAUGUCCGCACCAAAACCAGCACACGCUUUAUUCAUUAUUGCC
rnacentral:lncRNA from 13 species